CGCGUAGGCGGCCAACUAAGUCGGACGUGAAAUCCCCAGGCUCAACUUGGGAACUGCGUCCGAUACUGGAUGGCUAGAAUCCGGGAGAGGGAUGCGGAAUUCCAGGUGUAGCGGUGAAAUGCGUAGAUAUCUGGAGGAACACCGGUGGCGAAGGCGGCAUCCUGGACCGGCAUUGACGCUGAGGCGCGAAAGCCAGGGAGCAAACG
rnacentral:rRNA from 1 species